GACGAACGCUGGCGGCGUGCUUAACACAUGCAAGUCGAACGGAAAGGCCCUGCUUUUGUGGGGUGCUCGAGUGGCGAACGGGUGAGUAACACGCGAGUAACCUGCCCUUGACUUUGGGAUAACUUCAGGAAACUGGGGCUAAUACCGGAUAGGAGCUCCUGCUGCAUGGUGGGGGUUGGAAAGUUUCGGCGGUUGGGGAUGGACUCGCGGCUUAUCAGCUUGUUGGUGGGGUAGUGGCUUACCAAGGCUUUGACGGGUAGCCGGCCUGAGAGGGUGACCGGCCACAUUGGGACUGAGAUACGGCCCAGACUCCUACGGGAGGCAGCAGUGGGGAAUAUUGCACAAUGGGCGGAAGCCUGAUGCAGCAACGCCGCGUGCGGGAUGACGGCCUUCGGGUUGUAAACCGCUUUCGCCUGUGACGAAGCGUGAGUGACGGUAAUGGGUAAAGAAGCACCGGCUAACUACGUGCCAGCAGCCGCGGUGAUACGUAGGGUGCGAGCGUUGUCCGGAUUUAUUGGGCGUAAAGGGCUCGUAGGUGGUUGAUCGCGUCGGAAGUGUAAUCUUGGGGCUUAACCCUGAGCGUGCUUUCGAUACGGGUUGACUUGAGGAAGGUAGGGGAGAAUGGAAUUCCUGGUGGAGCGGUGGAAUGCGCAGAUAUCAGGAGGAACACCAGUGGCGAAGGCGGUUCUCUGGGCCUUUCCUGACGCUGAGGAGCGAAAGCGUGGGGAGCGAACAGGCUUAGAUACCCUGGUAGUCCACGCUGUAAACGGUGGGUACUAGGUGUGGGGUCCAUUCCACGGGUUCCGUGCCGUAGCUAACGCUUUAAGUACCCCGCCUGGGGAGUACGGCCGCAAGGCUAAAACUCAAAGGAAUUGACGGGGCCCCGCACAAGCGGCGGAGCAUGCGGAUUAAUUCGAUGCAACGCGUAGAACCUUACCUGGGUUUGACAUGGAUCGGGAGUGCUCAGAGAUGGGUGUGCCUCUUUUGGGGUCGGUUCACAGGUGGUGCAUGCCUGUCGUCAGCUCGUGUCGUGAGAUGUUGGGUUAAGUCCCGCAACGAGCGCAACCCUUGUUCACUGUUGCCAGCACGUUAUGGUGGGGACUCAGUGGAGACCGCCGGGGUCAACUCGGAGGAAGGUGGGGAUGACGUCAAGUCCUCAUGCCCCUUAUGUCCAGGGCUUCACGCAUGCUACAAUGGCUGGUACAGAGAGUGGCGAGCCUGUGAGGGUGAGCGAAUCUCGGAAAGCCGGUCUCAGUUCGGAUUGGGGUCUGCAACUCGACCUCAUGAAGUCGGAGUCGCUAGUAAUCGCAGAUCAGCAACGCUGCGGUGAAUACGUUCCCGGGGCC
rnacentral:rRNA from 1 species